GGUCAAUGGACGAAAGCCUGAACCAGCCAAGUAGCGUGCAGGAAGACGGCCCUAUGGGUUGUAAACUGCUUUUAUACGGGGAUAAAGUGAGGUACCGUGUACCUUUUUGCAUGUACCGGAUGAAUAAGGACCGGCUAAUUCCGUG
rnacentral:rRNA from 1 species